rnacentral:lncRNA from 1 species
UUUGUCCCAAAAUAAGACCUUGAAAAACUUCAUACCGAAUAAAUUAUUAUUAAAUACUUUANAUAUAUAUUUGUUUUAUUUAUUAAAAAUGACUUGCCUGGUAAAAUAUUUGUCCCAAAAUAAGACCUUGAAAAACUUCAUACCGAAUAAAUUAUUAUUAAAUACUUUAUUCCAACAUCUAAACAGAUAGAACUUAUUCCGACAUCCAGAUACGACUUUUAAAUAAAUAAAACAAAUAUAUAUAUAUACUAAAUAGGAUAUUCAUUAUCAUCAUAAUAAAUUAUUAUUGAAUAACUUAUUCUGACAUCCAAACAGAAUUUUUUACUCUAAAAUAAGAGAUAUAUGUCUAACUACUGUAAAAUAAUGCAUUUGUCGAUACCUUAUUCCAGUCAUAUAUGAGUUCAGCUACUAUACUAUCGAUAGUACCAAACUCGAUACUAUCGAGUUUUCUGCCGUUAAAUCUACUCUUUGAUCAUUUCCACCCGUUAGAUUAUACUAUUCAACCAACCACCCACUCAAUCCUAAAAGACCACCAUCAUUCUAACUGAAAACCACUAUCAUCUUAACCGCACAUUCUUAUUGGCUUAAAUAGGCCAGCAUCCUGCCAUGUGGCGAGAGGCCAUGUUGGGGCAAAUCAUAUUCGAAAUGGCGUGAGGCUGGAUAGGCCGAGUCAUGUUCGAAAUGGCGUGAGGCUGAUUGGGACAAGUCACAAUCGAGACCCACGGGCGCUGUAUCUAUACGCUUUAAGUGAAUUAGUUGUGUAUUUCUAAUAGCUCGAGCUUUUGGGAUUAAUGGUUAGAGCCAAUGAUCCGACAAUUCGUUCAUCCAACGGUCGAAAGCUCAAUAGCACCAAGCGCUUGGCACUAUCAAUAGUAUGGUAGUCUAAUUCUAUAGAUACAUAUUGAGUUCAAAGUAUUAGUUAGAUGAAGAACCAGCAAAAUUUUUAGCCCACAAAUAUACAGAUGAACAAGGCGCAAGGUAAAGUACUACAGUAAAAUAUUUCCCAAGUUAGAAACCAAAAUGAAAAUAUUGCUAAAAGUUGGAGGGCCAAAAUGUAACCUGAGUAAAAGCUCAGGGACUGGUGGUGC